rnacentral:rRNA from 1 species
CAGUCGCCGCGGUAAUACAGAGGGUGCGAGCGUUAAUCGGAUUUACUGGGCGUAAAGCGUGCGUAGGCGGCUUUUUAAGUCGGAUGUGAAAUCCCUGAGCUUAACUUAGGAAUUGCAUUCGAUACUGGGAAGCUAGAGCAUGGGAGAGGAUGGUAGAAUUCCAGGUGUAGCGGUGAAAUGCGUAGAGAUCUGGAGGAAUACCGAUGGCGAAGGCAGCCAUCUGGCCUAAUACUGACGCUGAGGUACGAAAGCAUGGGGAGCAAACAGGAUUAGAUACCCCGGUAGUCCCUGUCUCUUAUAC